UCAGAGCGUGUUGUGUUCAGUGACCGAUGGUAAAACACAGCAACACGCUAAUGGUCGACCAGCAGACGACCCCGCUCUCAGCGUGUUCACUUCAGUCUCGAGUCACUUCAGAGCACAUUAACCUGCUUCCUUCCUGAACUUUAAUAUCGCACACGUCUUCUCUUUUAACACAUCUCCAGCACAUUACCAUUUUGCAGCCACUUGUGAAAACGUAAUUACAAACCCAUGUGACGGAUGAGCUGACUGAAGGCUGUGUGUUAGCGGACCGUUAGCCAUUUAGCGCGUCGGAGGUAAAUGUUGAGAGCAAAAGCGUCCUUUACGGUAACACAGCUGUUGGUUUGUUUUUUUUUUUUAUUAUGGACAACCCCAAUGUAACCUCAGAGUGUACACAUUGAUAACAGGUAGAAAACAAGAGCAAAAAACAAACAAUAACAAAAACAGAUCUCUAGAAGCCAUGAACAAUUUGUUUAUCCCAAAAAAUAAAAAGGUUAUUAGAAAGACAAACUGUGGUGACAGAACAAUGCACUUUGUUUUUUUUGUCGCUGGGUCUUUUCUUUUUUUUUGAUAACAAUGAGAAUAUUUAAUGAGAGAACAUUUCAUAAUGCGACUUACACAGCAGAGUCCACUGAAUAUAGAUUCUAUAGAGACACAGUCAUUUGAAGAAAUCACAUAUUUUUUACCCUCUAACGCAGCUUUUCUGUUUACAAACCGGCCUCCGAGCUACAAAACUAAGCGAUCGAUGAGGAAACCUCCCCUCCUGCAUCCAGCCCAAUGAAUUGCUUGUGCAUACACCAUGUCCAUUAACCAUUUAAUCACUACAGUUUAAUGACUCGUGCUAUUGGCUGUCUGUGUGCUUUCCUCAAGUCAUUCGGAUUGAUAAUGUUCUUUUUUUUUUUUACUCCCCUCAAUUCUUGGCUUAUUGGCAGCUCAACAAUUCACAAGUUUCUUCUUGCAAAAUGUCCAAUCCAGAGUUUUAGUCGUGGGCCUAUAAAAUUAAACCGACUCCUCAAAGAAGCUGCAGAUUGAAAGGCAGAAAUGAUUCACCAGAAAAAAAGUGUAAAAAAAAACUCAUCAACUCAUGGGGCUGCAUUGAAGUACCGGAGACGUAUUCAGCUUCAAAUACAAUACUUGUCUGAACUUAUUAGCACCAUAAAAUAGCAAAAUUAUUUAAAAAAAAGCAUAAAAAACACUAAUCUACAUAAACCACGGCAGGCACUGUCAGAUCAUUUCUCACUAUAGGCAUUGUAGUCUUUAAUACUACGUAAUUUGUAUUCUCUGAUUUCACACUGCGUUGAAUGGAGGUGGCAUCACAUACCGUACGAGGUGCUUCAGCAAACUCGCUUUUGAAUUUAGGGCCCAUGAGGAACAGUUUUUUAAAGACAAAAAUCCAGCCAUAUUUCAUCCUAAAAGUACUUUGAUAGAGGAAAUGUUGUAGAAUUCCACUCGCGGCUCUGUUAGGAGGAGAGAAAAAAAAAAAAAAACGAGACGGCCAUGCAUGUUAAAAGCCUAUGUGCCAUCAAAGCCCCUUGGGCUACAAAAGGCUCUUUUAGCAAAUGGAUGGCAACAGCUGCAAACUCUGGGCUGUUCUUAAUGUGCACGGUGCAGAUGUCUGCACUUGAGUCCCACAGUCUGAGACAGAUCUGUCUGGCUCUACACUGGGCCUCUCUCAUCAUAUCACUGUAGCUUCAUUAAGCACUGAACUCAAUAUCAGCAUCUGCCUGACAGUUUUUACUCUCCAAUUAAAGUAAAGGAGGGAAGAGAAAAAAAAAAACACCAAAAGCUACAGCGAUAACCAUCAAAGAGUCUUGUUAUAUACUGUAUGUAUCCUUUUAUCUCUCUUAUUCUAGCCUCAUAUGAAAUGAUCUACACUAAACCGUGACCCUUUCAACUUUUUCUCAGUGGCGGAAGCUGUACCGACACCAAAAACCAGCGCAGUGGAGACGGCGUGAUGGUAUUAUUUGGUUUUGUUGAUUCAUUUUUAUGGUCAGUUUUCCCAAAAAAAAAAAAAAAAAUGGAGCAAACAAUGGAGGCAACUGCGGCUACAUCCAACGGGAAUCCUCCUGCUGUAGCGCCGCCGUGGAUCUGCUAACGGCUGGAGAUUCGACCACAAAGAGUUUAGAGCGACGUCACGGGUCCGUCUUUGUUCAAUCAGAUCAUUUGUUGUUUAUUUGCAGAACUUUUUUUUUUUACAUUUAAGGCUCACAAGAUAAUAAUAAUAAAAAAAAAAAAUCAAAUAAAAAUUCAAAUAAGCACUUGUAUGAGGCGACAUACAUUACUGAUACUUGGAGGAGGAAGGAGGAAGGAGGAAAAAAAAAGCUGCAUUUACAAAAAAUCAACACACAGUGAUAAGAAAAUGCCGACAUGAACCAUAUUCAAUCCGAUAACACACAUCUAUCCAAUCAGUGAACUGGGACAGAACGUUGUUGACUACUGAACUCAUUUAAUGCGUAAAACAAAUACAAGUUACUUCACUGGGUCAUCACAAUUGAACAAGAGAUUUGUUUGUUUUUUUUUUUGCCUUUUUUUUUGUAACACCCUCAGAAAUAUACAUUCACAUGGCUGCAUACAGACAAUUUCUCUCCGUUUCGAGUUUCUUUCAAUAACAUUAAAACCGACAAACCGUAUGCGUCGCCCUCUCCGUAUGACAGUGAAGCCACUACCGGCAUAUUAAAAACGUACUAGAGGAGCUUUUUUUUUUUUUUUUUUAAAGGUGGGACUUUGGAAAUAAGCUAUGCGUCAACUUCAUCUAGCCAUCAUCGAGUCUCCGUGUUUGCAGUCAAAAUAGGUAUAUUUUUUUUUUUUACAGAACAGGGUCCCUAACACAGUUGUCCCUAAAUAAACCCCCACUAUAAUCUCAACCUUAUGUACAGUAUUUACAGUGGAAUGUUGAACAUACUGAAUACAAAAAAGUAGAUUAGGAUGGAAUGAAGUUACAGUCAGUAUUACAAAAUAGAAACUCAUAACACCCCGACAACGUGAAGACAAUGUUUACAUCUACCGGACUCAAAAGGCUUUUUUUCUCUUUCUCUCCCACAUGUCUUGAGAAGCAAAGUGUGGCAGUGGUUCCAUGAUGGAUGCAGAAAAUGGUCAAAUGAAACCUUGUGCUUUGAAAAGAGGGGAAAGGGGGGUAUAAUCGUGAUGUACAAUAUCUCUCCACCGGAUUUCAAUUGUUGUGCUUAGAAAAAAUCAGCAACCAAAGCCGCGAGAAGCGAGGACGACGACGAACCCCCCCGCCCAACCGCUCGAGUUUAGCCGACCUCAAAGCGGUGAUGGAUGCAGCUUUUAAAGAGAUCAGCUGAUUUAUAGAUCAAGUAUAGAUAUAUUAGUUAGUACCGAGCCGGAGCCAGGGAGGGUGAAUAACGUCCCCGCCGUACUAACUCAAAACUCCCCGCGAGUAAACAACCAUCAUUUCAUCUGAUAGAUGCUCUGCAGCCCGUGUUCCGUCCCGCCAUCACUCACUCCGUUAUUCCGAAUAACUUAAAACGAUGAAGCGGCGACCGCUCGGACGACGUCUCCCGACUUCGAUAGGCACUGAGAACCGAAGGUAACAAUUCAUAUGUUUUGUGUCGUUAUGCCGCGACGGUAUAAAAACUGAGAAGCUACCGCGAAGCCGCGCGCACUGCGGGGCGAUUAAACGAUUAAAACUACAAAAAAUCGCAAGUUGCUUUCGCGCGCUGGAAGUAGCCACGCCCCUCCCCCGCCCCGUCAUUUAGUCUCCUCCCUAUCGCGACACAUGCGACGAAAAUAAGGCUGCAGCAAAUGAAUCUCUCUAAAAAAGGAAACGGAGAGCAAGAGACUUUUUAAUAAGAACAUGAUAUUUCCCACUUUGUGAUGCUAAUUUUUGAAAAUACGAUAUAGUUUUGAGGCUCAUGAUUAACAUGCUCAUCUAAAAACAUACAGUAGACAAGCAUGGACCGUAAAACAUUCACAUCUCCAGGCGGCAGAGAGAUCUGCUCCCACGGAGAUGUUUUUUUUUUCUCUUUUUUUUUCAUCUUUAUUAAUAUAUAUAUUUAUAUAUAUGUAUAUUUAUAUACCUUUUUGUGUGUUAACUGCGAUAUUGUUACUGGGUACUGUGCGCCCACAAACUCAUACCUCUGUCAAUACUGACGACGCUCACAAAGUGUCGUCUUUUGAGCUGGAAAAUGAGGACAAACACGCUGGAAUUGAUAGAAAAAA